UACGUAGGGUGCGAGCGUUAAUCGGAAUUACUGGGCGUAAAGCGUGCGCAGGCGGUUUUGUAAGGCAGAUGUGAAAUCCCCGAGCUCAACUUGGGAACUGCGUUUGAAACUACAAGACUAGAGUAGGUCAGAGGGGGGUAGAAUUCCACGUGUAGCAGUGAAAUGCGUAGAGAUGUGGAGGAAUACCAAUGGCGAAGGCAGCCCCCUGGGAUCAUACUGACGCUCAUGCACGAAAGCGUGGGGAGCAAACAGG
rnacentral:rRNA from 1 species